GAACCCAGGUCUUCAGAGUUUGCAUCAUGGCUACACCAAGUGGACUUGAGCAAUCCCACCUGGGAGCUGGGGACCUGAGGAUGGAAGAGAGGAUGCAGCCGUACGGAGUGCCUUUUCCUACUGGCCAGAGAAGACAAUUCCCUGAGUGCUGUUCUGAAGCAGAGUGAGGGCUGACCUGCAGCUAAAUUAGCAAGAGAGCUGGCUUCACAUGCUGAGAGAAUCUGAUGCCAACUUGGACAAUCUCAAAUGGCAAUCUGCACAUGACAAGCAAUAGUUGAUGCUGGCUGGUGUUUUUGCUGGAGAGGUGAAUGACACCGACGAGGGAAGCCUGGACCCAGCCUGUCCCCUGGCGCCUUCGUGAUGCAGCAUCGUGACCUUUCUGCCUGGGAGAUGACUCAUGGCAGAUGGCAGUGAGUUAAAGGAUCUUUGCUUCUGUAGAAUUCUUGCCAUUCCAUAAUUUAUGCACAGUGGAGAAAUGUUUACAUGUUGGAGAAGGAACAUUUUGUGGUGGAGUCAGAAAGAAGAGGUUAAUGUGGCCCUGGAGGAUAUAAAGAGCAAGCACCAGUAUCACAUGUGAAGACGAGAUGAUUGGAGGAGUGAAGAGAAGUGAACUCAUGGACACGACACUGAGAACAGUGCGCUGACUGCAGUCAAUAACUUGUGAAAUGGUCUCUUUUGAAUGAAAUGGCACCAGAGCAGAACAUCAGGAAAGGUGUUCCCCCCAGCUACACCUGCCAUUAUAGGAAAAGCAAAGAUGUGGCAUGAGAAUAGCCAUGUCCCCUUCCAGGCGGACACCAGUAGUCAAUGCUUCCUGGAGUACUGCUUCCUGUUGACCCUGAGCUCAGUCAGACAGGACCUCAGAGUCCUUCUCAACACAGAUCCAUGAGGAAAUCUAUUUACCACUCCUGUCAACAUCCUGAGCAGACAAACCCUGAAAAGCCAGAGUGGCAACAGGCAAACUGACUGUUGGCCUCAACUGUAAAAAAUCUUUCCAGUGAAUUUCCUAUAGUUUCUCCUUUCUUAAUGUCUCUAUAUAUGCUCUGUGACAUUGACAGUCCUAUGUACUCUAGUAUUUGCAAUUUAAUUUUGUCUCCUUUUCAUGAAAUCCCAAGAAUUUUAGAAUAGGACUAAAAGAAACUUCAUCUGAAUUUUUUUUUCAAAAAUAUUUAAAAAACUUUUAUUUUCAGUAUUUUGAGGUCCAGAUAUAUUGCUCAAUAGUCACUUUUUUUGUUUGAAUUUUAAAUUAUGGGAGAUAAUUGAAUUCUACUCAAAUUUUAUUGCCUGCUUCAUUAUGAGAAAAGGAGGAUGUUGCCUUGAUAUUUUUUUUGAAAAUUAGUAAAACCUGAACAUUUAAAACACA